CAAUUAUUUUUGACAAGUGGAAUUUACAGGCGCAUGCCACCACAUGCGGCUAACUUUUGUACUUUUAGUAGAGACAGAGUUUCACGAUGUUGGCCAGGCUGGUCUCAAACUCCUGACCUCGAGUGAUCUGCCCGCCUCGGCCUCCCAAAAUGUGGGGAUUACAGCAUGAGUCACUGCACCAGGCCGAAUAUAGAAUCUUAAAGGAGAGGUCUCAUGUCAGACAGCUUUUGCGAUGAACCCUUUAGAGUGUUAAUCUCCAAAUGACUAAAGCACAUGUUUGGUUACCUUGGUAUUGACUAAGCAAUGUCCUCUACUACAGAUCUUUUCUUUUGUGAUCUUCUUCAUCCAUUUGUUAGAGAAGUAUAACUGAUAAUUACUGAGAAAUAACAUUGUUGUUGACAUUGGUCUGGGGUUUCUUCCAUGAACAUAGGAGAGUGGUAGGGUGGCCCUUGGGGAGGAUAACCCAUUCCUGGGAAUACCCACAUCCAGGCAGCGUGGCUGGGCAUGGAGGAUCCAGGUCCUGCCUGGAGAAGAACUUGGAAUGCCCAGGUUGAGGGUCCUCAAACUACUUUGUCUCACCUGGAGAGGAGCUGCACAGCUUCCUGAGAGGCAAAGGGCUGUCUUCCCAGUUCUGGUGUCUGAGGGCUCUUAGAGAUGGCAUGCUUGGUCCAGGGCUAACCUUGCUCAAAAAAGUUUCAAAAGUACAACCUGUCCUACAGCAACAGACCAGUCUGUGGGUUCCAGAGUGCAGAUUAUCAGGCCUGCUGAACAACUCCCCGGCUGAUCUCAGAUGCAGAGAAGGGACAGCUGUACAGCGGAUGUUGUCAUCAAAGGUGUCUGAAGCAGGGUAUAUCUGCAACCAGGCCCUACCUACCAUGACUGGAGUAAGGCGCUUGGCUCUAGAGACAGCCUCUCUGGGGGACAGUCCACUAGCCCAUGCUAAGGCCACUGUGAGUGACCUAUAAUGUGACUGAAAUGCUAAUAUUUUAUUUAGAGCCUCUACAGAUGGUAUAUUCAAAUUUUGAAACAAUCAUUUCAAUAUUAGUCUCAUCAUCUCUAUUUCAUGAUCAGUUCGGUUAUUCCUAAACCAGCAUCCUAUCAAAGACAAGAAUAUCACUUAACUACGGAGUGGGCCUGGAAACUUUAAGAUUUAGGGAUCCCUUGGUGAUAGCUGGUGAUCCCUAGAAAGCUGGUGAAAUCUGGAUAAGACUGGUGGAUUGCACCAAUGUUCAUUUCCUAGUUGUGAUACUGUCUGUAGUAGUGCAAGAUGCUGCUGUUGGGGGAAACUGGGUGUAAGGUGCAGGGAAUCCCCGCGUUAUUUCUUACAACUGCAUGUGAAGCUAUAAUCAUCUCAAAACAAAAGUUUGUUUUUUUGUUUUUUUGUUUUUAACCAGUAUUUUUAAAAACUGUGGCUUUUAUUUACCAGGUCCAUUGUUGACAGAAAAGAGGACUUUUGAGUUCUAAGGGGCCAAAUUUGGGAUUCUCAGAGCACUGCAUUUUUACUCUGAGAAAGCAGAAAGAAUUGGCACAUCUGAAGCCUGAUGAAUAAUCAAGACCUGGGAUGGCAAACAGGAUUCAUCUUAAGAACCAACUCCAACUGACUGAC
rnacentral:lncRNA from 1 species